AAAGACUGCCAGGUUUUUCAUGCUUACCCACUAUUCCAUAAACCUAUGAGAAAACAGGUUACCAGGCUUUUUUGGGGUUUCUAUGGCCAACAAAAGAAUUCCAUCACCCUGAGAUGCUCACUAUCAAAUAUUUGAGUGUGGCAGCCAUAAAAUGUCGAUGAAUUCCAGAUAGUUUUAUGCUCCUGGCUGUUGUUGUUACCGUUUACCAAGGAUCAACAACAGCUACAUGUACUUGGCUUGGGCAAGCAUCCAGUACAGUGAAUGAGUGAAGUCUGAGUUGCAGCACCUGCAGACUGAGAAAUAUUGGUUUCUUCAGAUAUUUAUAAACUGGGACAGAUCCAGACACGAGACUUCAGCAUACAGAAAAUCCGGAUGAAAGGAAAAACAAAAUGAGCAGUAUUUUUGUUUAGUAAUAAGGAUUUGAAUAAAGAGCACAGAAUUAAGAAUAUGCA
rnacentral:lncRNA from 1 species